rnacentral:rRNA from 1 species
UGUUUGAUCCUGGCUCAGGAUGAACGCUAGCUACAGGCUUAACACAUGCAAGUCGAGGGGCAGCGGGAUUGAAGCUUGCUUCAAUUGCCGGCGACCGGCGCACGGGUGAGUAACGCGUAUCCAACCUUCCGUACACUCAGGGAUAGCCUUUCGAAAGAAAGAUUAAUACCUGAUGGUAUGAUGAGAUUGCAUGAUAGCAUCAUUAAAGAUUUAUCGGUGUACGAUGGGGAUGCGUUCCAUUAGGUAGUAGGCGGGGUAACGGCCCACCUAGCCUACGAUGGAUAGGGGUUCUGAGAGGAAGGUCCCCCACAUUGGAACUGAGACACGGUCCAAACUCCUACGGGAGGCAGCAGUGAGGAAUAUUGGUCAAUGGACGAGAGUCUGAACCAGCCAAGUAGCGUGAAGGAUGAAGGUCCUACGGAUUGUAAACUUCUUUUAUAAGGGAAUAAAACCUCCCACGUGUGGGAGCUUGUAUGUACCUUAUGAAUAAGCAUCGGCUAACUCCGUGCCAGCAGCCGCGGUAAUACGGAGGAUGCGAGCGUUAUCCGGAUUUAUUGGGUUUAAAGGGAGCGCAGACGGGUCGUUAAGUCAGCUGUGAAAGUUUGGGGCUCAACCUUAAAAUUGCAGUUGAUACUGGCGUCCUUGAGUGCGGUUGAGGUGUGCGGAAUUCGUGGUGUAGCGGUGAAAUGCUUAGAUAUCACGAAGAACUCCGAUUGCGAAGGCAGCACACUAAGCCGUAACUGACGUUCAUGCUCGAAAGUGUGGGUAUCAAACAGGAUUAGAUACCCUGGUAGUCCACACGGUAAACGAUGGAUACUCGCUGUUGGCGAUAUACAGUCAGCGGCUUAGCGAAAGCGUUAAGUAUCCCACCUGGGGAGUACGCCGGCAACGGUGAAACUCAAAGGAAUUGACGG